rnacentral:lncRNA from 1 species
UUUUCAUAUAUUUGACAAGUUUCAAUUCAUUAUAGUCAUUAUCAUUUUUGAUGCUUAAACUGUCCUAUCUGUAAUCUCAGGGGAGACCCUCCAGGCUUGAUCUGCUUUAGAAAAGUCGAAUAAUGGCCGGGCGCGGUGGCUCAUGCCUGUAAUCCCAGCACUUUGGGAGGCCAAGGCGGGCGGAUCAAGAGGUCAGGAGAUCAAGACCAUCCUGGCUAACACGGUGAAACCCCGUCUGUACAAAAAAAAAAAAUCCAAAAAAUUAGCCGGGCGUGGUGGCGGGCGCCUGUAGUCCCAGCUACUCGGGAGGCUGAGGCAAGAGAAAGGCGUGAAUCCGAGAGGCGGAGCUUGCAGUGAGCUGAGAUCGCGCCACGGCACUCCAGCCUGGGCAAGGGAGUGAGACUCCAUCUCAAGAAAAAAAAAAAAAAAGAAAAGUCGAAUAGCCCUGGCAACUGAGUAAAGAUGGGGCACUGUGGAUUUGAAGGGUAACAAUCGAUGAUGGAAUGCUGAUCUUCUUCCUGGUCUCCUUUGUGUAAGAGCCUAACAUUGAUCGCACAUGGAGCAAGAUUAAAAGGGUGCCUCAUCAUAUGUUUUCUUGCCUCCAUAUUCAACGAGGAUUCUGCCAUUAACCACAUUACCAGAACUGAAUUAAAAAGCAAAACUGGCCAAGUGUGGUGGCUCGUGCCUGUAACCCCAGCACUUUGGGAGGGUGAGGUGGGUGGAUCACUUGAGGUCAGAAGUUCGAGACCAGCCUGGCCAACAUGGUGAAACCCUAUCUAUGCUAAAAAUAGAAAAAUUAGCCAGACAUGGGGGCAUGGUAGCACAUGUCUGUAAUUCCAGCUACUUGGGAAGAUGAGGCAGGAGAACAGGAGAAUCACUUGAACCCAGGAAGCAGAGGUUGCAGUUAGCCAAGAUCACUAGAGACACUGUCUCAACAACAACAAAAAAGCAAAGCUACCAUCCUACCCUAACUCUAAUGCCUUUGUUUGUUAUCUGUAGUCCACAUCCAGCCUUACCUUCCUGGCCUUGCUUCCUUCUCCAGACUUUGUCUACCACUUUAUAACAUUUGUCUACAGGAAAAUCUCCCUCAAUAGAUUGUAUUUGGGGUUGCGUCUUAUCCACCCUUGUAGUCUUACAUUCUCAUAAUGAAAUGGAAUAGAGAUUUAAAUACAGUUAACAUUUAGUAAAGUUUUCUUUGGUGCAAGAAAAUUAC